AGUGAACGCUGGCGGUAGGCCUAACACAUGCAAGUCGAACGGCAGCACAGUAAGAGCUUGCUCUUACGGGUGGCGAGUGGCGGACGGGUGAGGAAUACAUCGGAAUCUACUUUUUCGUGGGGGAUAACGUAGGGAAACUUACGCUAAUACCGCAUACGACCUACGGGUGAAAGCAGGGGAUCUUCGGACCUUGCGCGAUUGAAUGAGCCGAUGUCGGAUUAGCUAGUUGGCGGGGUAAAGGCCCACCAAGGCGACGAUCCGUAGCUGGUCUGAGAGGAUGAUCGGCCCACGUGGAAAUGAGACCGGGUCCAGCCCCCUACGGGGGGGCGCGGGGGGGAAUUUUGGACAAUGGGCGCAAGCCUGACCCAGCCAUACCGGGGGGGUGAAGAAGGCCUUCGGGUUGUAAAGCCUUUUUGUUGGGAAAAAAAAGCAGCAGGUUAAUACCCCGCUGUUCGGACGGUACCCAAAGAAUAAGCCCCGGCUAACUUCGU
rnacentral:rRNA from 1 species